GAUGAACGCUGGCGGCGUGCUUAAUACAUGCAAGUCGAACGGAGACAUUAGCAAUAAUGUUUUAGUGGCGAACGGGUGAGUAACGCGUUGGUGACCUGCCCCGAAGAGAGGGAUAACAGUUCGAAAGGAUUGCUAAUACCUCAUGUGGUUGUUUGGAUUAGAUGCCUUACAACUAAACGGAUUUAUUCGCUUCGGGAGGGGCCUGCGUACCAUCAGCUUGUUGGUAGGGUAAUGGCCUACCAAGGCGACGACGGGUAGGGGACCUGAGAGGGUGGCCCCCCACACUGGCACUGAAACACGGGCCAGACACCUACGGGAGGCAG
rnacentral:rRNA from 1 species